rnacentral:tRNA from 1 species
GACCCCAUCGUCUAGUCAGGUUAGGACAUCAGCUUUUCAAGCUGAGAGCCGGGGUUCAAAUCCCCGUGGGGUCG